AUGGAGUCGCAACUGUUGGAAUUUACCUACGUGGAACAUCUUCACAACCCGAUUCUGGAGGGAAGAGGAGGUUCUCCCAAGUUCGCGGUGGAGGAGGGGCUGGCAUUACUUGCAGUAGAAGCUGAGGACCCCUUCGGGGCAAUAACAGACUCUCCCGUCCACAGGGAACAUCAGGCUGAGCCCUCAGGGUUUUUGUAUGAGGCUGUGUCACAGUGUAAUGUGUUCGGCGGAGGGACCCAUCUGACCGUCCUCGGUCAGCCCAAGGCCGCACCCUCGGUCGCUCUGUUCCCGCCCUCCACUGACGAGCUCAGCAACGACAAGGCCACGCUGGUGUGCCUCAUCAGUGACUUCUACCCCGGCGUCGUGACGGUGGCCUGGAAGAAAAAUGGCAGCCCCGUCACCCAGGGCGUGGAGACCACCAAGCCCUCCAAACAGAGCAACAACAAGUACGCGGCCAGCAGCUACCUGAGCGUGUCGCCCAGCACGUGGAAGUCAGCCAGCAGCUACAGCUGCCACGUCACGCACGAAGGCAGCACCGUGGAGAAGUCCGUGACCCCCUCGGAGUGUUCCUAGGACCUGAGCCCCAUGUUCGGGGCCGCUCUCCCACAAGAUCCCCCACUCCCCGGCUCCCCACCGUGGCCCUGGGACUCCUGCCCAGGGCUGCUGAGGCGGGGCAGGUCUCCCCGACUCCCCGCUUCCCAUCUUCCUCAAUAAAGUCUUGAUCAUGUA